rnacentral:sRNA from 1 species
UGGACCCUCAGCUGCGGCUGCUGCUGGAAGUCACCUAUGAAGCCAUCGUGGACGGAGGCUGCCCUUGGCGCUGGAGAGGCCACUGGCCGACGGGCUCAUCAGAGCUGCCGGUGACACCAGGGGCCAAAGGCGUCGCCUGGG